UGCAUCAGGGCAACGCAGAACGAAACGCUACGUCAGGGUAUCACAUGGGAUGGGGGAAGCGUUGUGUUGACGGAACAAAAACAAAACAAAAGUGCGCUGAUUGCGGUGCCUGGUAACAAUGCCUCCAACAACGCCUCCAUCCACAGACGCGCCUUCAUCCACAGACGCACCUCCAUCCACAGACACGUCUUCAUCCACAGACGCACCUCCAUCCACAGACACGUCUUCAUCCACAGACGCACCUCCAUCCACAGACGCACCUCCAUCCACAGACACGUCUUCAUCCACAGACGCGCCUUCAUCCACAGACGCACCUCCAUCCACAGACACGUCUUCAUCCACAGACGCACCUCCAUCCACAGACACGUCUUCAUCCACAGACGCACCUCCAUCCACAGACACGUCUUCAUCCACAGACGCACCUCCAUCCACAGACGCGCCUUCAUCCACAGACGCACCUCCAUCCACAGACACGUCUUCAUCCACAGACGCGCCUUCAUCCACAGACGCACCUCCAUCCACAGACACGUCAGACCCACUUCAAGUGAUUUGCGAGGCUGACAUCUUUGGCAAGCAUGCAUCUGUCACUUAUGAAGACAUUUUAAUACAUCUGACAAACUUUCUUGUGCUGCCAAACUUUCUUGUGCUGCCUGUGGAUCAGUGCCCGUUCCACAACCGGGGGGGGAACAUGUAAAGAUUGCCAUGUCCUUCCGCCCUUUGAGGUCCAAAUCAGUUUGAGAGGCACAGCAAGCAUCAUUGAAUGUGUUCAUCCUGUGGACUAAGGAGGUUGUCAACCACAGAUUAAAGGCCGACGUCAUGCUGGGGACUAAGGAGGUUGUCAACCACAGAUUAAAGGCCGACGUCAUGCUGGGGACUAAGGAGGUUGUCAACCACUUGUGGUGGUGUUGUACGAGGAGUUAAUUUAUUUAUUGUCAGUCAUAUUUAUCUUGUCUUAUUUAUUACUCUUGUGUUAUGCUUAGCUGUGAAGCUAGCACUCGUCCCUGAGUUGCUGAAAUAAUUUCUGCAAUAGGCAAAGUGGGGAAUGCAUGCAUUGCGAUUGUAUGUGUCAGGACCUGUGGAAGGGUGUUACUCACCAUGUGGGGAAUGAACACACAUGGACAACUGGGACAUUGUGAACACGACAGCCUGGGGGACAACCACACCAAGGAAUGAAUCACAAAGGGCUCUCACAGACAUCGUCCUCAACACAAGGUGACUGAAGGAGCUUCGUAAAUACCUCAACUUCAGGAGGGUUACGUAUUUUCUCAAGGAUACUUCCCCCUAUUUAAGCAAUUGGUUACAGAUAAUGGUCCAUUGUACAUUACUCCAGUACUGUCCUCAGGGACCACCAGAAGAUGUUUACACAUAUUGGUCUAUUGGUCACAGAGGAGAGGGUUGGGAAACCCUGCAUUAGGGGUUUGUUUGACAUGCAGACAGCCAAAGGAGGAUUACAAUUUAGUUGAUUUCAUGAUGCUCAUUACGACUUGAUUUCAUGAUGCUUCAUUACGACAUGAUUUCAUGAUGCUCAUUACGACUUGAUUUCGUGAUGCUCAUUACGACUUGAUUUCAUGAUGCUCAUCGACAUGAUUUCAUGAUGCUCAUUACGACUUGAUUUCAUGAUGCUCAUUACGACUUGAUUUCAUGAUGCUCAUUACGACUUGAUUUCAUGAUGCUCAUUACGACUUGAUUUCGUGAUGCUCAUUACGACUUGAUUUCAUGAUGCUCAUUACGACUUGAUUUCGUGAUGCUCAUUACGACUUGAUUUCAUGAUGCUCAUUACGACUUGAUUUCGUGAUGCUCAUUACGACUUGAUUUCAUGAUGCUCAUUACGACUUGAUUUCGUGAUGCUCAAUACGACUUGAUUUCAUGAUGCUCAUGAUGACUUGAUUUCAUGAUGCUCAUGAUGACUUGAUUUCAUGAUGCUUAUUACGACUUGAUUUCAUGAUGCUUCAUUACGACUUGAUUUCGUGAUGCUCAUUACGACUUGAUUUCAUGAUGCUCAUUACGACUUGAUUUCGUGAUGCUCAUUACGACUUGAUUUCGUGAUGCUCAUCGACAUGAUUUCAUGAUGCUCAUUACGACUUGAUUUCAUGAUACUCAUUACGACUUGAUUUCAUGAUGCUCAUUACGACUUGAUUUCAUGAUGCUCAUUACGACUUGAUUUCAUGAUGCUCAUUACGACUUGAUUUCGUGAUGCUCAUUACGACUUGAUUUCGUGAUGCUCAUUACGACUUGAUUUCAUGAUGCUCAUUACGACUUGAUUUCGUGAUGCUCAAUACGACUUGAUUUCAUGAUGCUCAUGAUGACUUGAUUUCAUGAUGCUCAUGAUGACUUGAUUUCAUGAUGCUCAUUACGACUUGAUUUCAUGAUGCUCAUUACGACUUGAUUUCAUGAUGCUCAUUACGACUUGAUUUCAUGAUGCUCAUUACGACUUGAUUUCAUGAUGCUCAUGAUGACUUGAUUUCAUGAUGCUCAUUACGACUUGAUUUCAUGAUGCUCAUUACGACAUGAUUUCAUGAUGCUCAUUAUGACUUGUCUGUCAACUGUUGGACCUUAUAUUGACAGGUGUGUGCCUUUCCAAAUCAAUAUAAUUUAUCACAGGUGGAUUCCAAUCAAGUUGUAGAAAUAUCUCAAGGAUAAUCAAUGAUUUACCUGAGCUCAAUUCUGAGUCUCAUAGAAAAGGGUCUGAAUACUUAUGUAAAUAAGGCAUUUCUGUUUUUCUAUUUUUAAUACAUUUGCAAACAAUUCUAAACACCUGUUUUCACUUUGUCAUUAUGGGGUAUUGUGUCAUGAAAACUCAAUUUAAUCCAUUUUAAAAUUAUGCUGUAACACAAAAAAAAAUGUUGGAAAAAGUCGAGGGGUGUGAAUACUCCCUGAAGGCGUUGUAUAGUGUAAGUCCCCACUCUAUUUGAAGUCGAGGGGUCUGAAUACUCCCUGAAGGCGUUGUAUAGUGUAAGUCCCCACUCUAUUUGAAGUCCAGGGGUGUGAAUACUCCCUGAAGGCGUUGUAUAGUGUAAGUCCCCACUCUAUUUGAAGUGGAGGGGUGUGAAUACUCCCUGAAGGCGUUGUAUAGUGUAAGUCCCCACUCUAUUUGAAGUGGAGGGGUGUGAAUACUCCCUGAAGGCGUUGUAUAGUGUAAGUCCCCACUCUAUUUGAAGUCCAGGGGUGUGAAUACUCCCUGAAGGCGUUGUAUAGUGUAAGUCCCCACUCUAUUUGAAGUCCAGGGGUGUGAAUACUCCCUGAAGGCGUUGUAUAGUGUAAGUCCCCACUCUAUUUGAAGUCGAGGUUAGAGAAGGACGUUUUGAACAACAGAAUUUUUUCAAGUCUGCCCCACCCACCUGUUCACACUCACACAUUGGCCAAACACAGGAUCUAUCUAAAUUCAUUUCCUGAAUUGCUUUACAGCCUAUCUCUUUUGCCUCCUUCUCAAAACCUAUUGGAGAAGAGGGUCCGAGGGGCGUGACCCUGGCCUUUUUUCUACCAUACGAUUGAGAAGUAGGCGAGGACGUGGGAUUCCAGAAACUGUGAGUGAUUGAAUAUAAACAGGAACUUCUCAGUGUAUAUCUCCUUUCUCUAAACCAAUGAGGGAAGUGAUACACAACCUUAUUUGUUCUGAUUUACCCAGAUUACAAGAUCUUUGACCUUACUAAUUGUCCUUGAAAGUACUUUUAAAAAAUAUAUAUUUUUUAUAACACAAUGAAUACUCUCAAAUUAUGUUGGUUUA